UACAGAGGGGGCAAGCGUUGUUCGGAAUUACUGGGCGUAAAGGGCGCGUAGGCGGCCCGCUAAGUCGAACGUGAAAUCCCCGGGCUCAACCCGGGAACUGCGUCCGAUACUGGUGGGCUUGAAUCCGGGAGAGGGAUGCGGAAUUCCAGGUGUAGCGGUGAAAUGCGUAGAUAUCGAGAGGAACACCUGCGGCGAAGGCGGGUUGCUGGGCUGACACUGACGCUGAAGCGCGAAAGCUAGGGGAGCGAACGGG
rnacentral:rRNA from 1 species